CGGGUUGUAGCGCAGGGGCUAGCGCGCUUGGUUCGGGACCAAGAGGCCGUGGGUUCAAAUCCCACCAGCCCGA
rnacentral:tRNA from 1 species